UGAUGCCUGACACGGUUCAAGAUUCAAUAACAACAGUGUCAGGACAGUACGUAAGGUACUCUCUCUUGUCCAACCUUUCAGCUACGAAACUGUGAAGCUUUCGAUAACAUACAUUUGAGAUUUUCCUUUUGCCAGAGUAUUUAUAUACCGUUCCAUAACAACUAGAAACACAUGAUCCGUUAUAGGCGACUAACAUGCUAGCAAUCCACGGGAUGCCCACGCUCAUAUAGCACUUAGCCAACCUCUUCCAACCUUCUUCCCUUACUUGAGGUAUGGCCCAGGAAAGAAUGAUCUUUUCAUAUGGUGACGUCGAGUUUGACCAAGCGUUGGAGGCAGGUGAGACGAGUGAGAAGAAAAUAAGUGGAUUGAAAGAAUUUGAUGAGAGAACGGUGGAAGACACCUUGGCGAAACUGAGUUCUUCCAUCCGUAAGAACGAUGCAUCUUCU
rnacentral:sRNA from 1 species